AAAGAUUAAGCCAUGCAUGUCUAAGUAUAAGCAACUAUACGGUGAAACUGCGAGUGGCUCAUUAAAUCAGUUAUCGUUUAUUUGAUAGUACCUUACUACAUGGAUAACCGUGGUAAUUCUAGAGCUAAUAUAUGCUAAAAACCUCGACUUCGGAAGGGGUGUAUUUAUUAGAUAAAAAACCAAUGCCCUUCGGGGCUCCUUGGUGAAUCAUAAUAACUUAACGAAUCGCAUGGCCUUGCGCCGGCGAUGGUUCAUUCAAAUUUCUGCCCUAUCGACUUUCGAUGGUAGGAUAGUGGCCUACCAUGGUAUCAACGGGUAACGGGGAAU
rnacentral:rRNA from 1 species